GGCUUCCAUUUCUACGACUGUGAGCAUGAACUGGCGUAAUGGGGAGAUAAUUUUGAAGAAGUAGAAUCCUGACUGUAUGAAUAACAUUUCUGUAUGCAUACAAAUUGACAAGGCCUAAAUUAAAAUAUUGUUUGUUUGCCCUUUUCCGACCCUAUGUUUUGAAACAGGGUAGGUAGGUAGGUAAAAUAUUUUAUUUUUUUCCCCAAAAAAAUAACUUGGCUCGGUAUAUUAUUUGUCAUGGGUAGGCAGGUAGGUAAAAUAUUUUAUUUUAUAGAUACAAAAUCUGCAUAAUGUCAUUUUUUUCCCGUUUUGUUUUUGCAAAUAAGUUUUCCGCUGGGACUAUUAGUUUUGAAAAAAAAUAUAUAAGAGAUAACUUUGUACUGGUAAGAUAAUGUCCGGGCAGACAUAAAUUACUAGUAGAAAAAGUC
rnacentral:lncRNA from 1 species